UUACGGCCACAUCACGUUGAAACACCGGUUCCUAUACGAUUUCCGAAGUUAAGCAACGUCGACCAUGGUCAGUCUCUAGAUGGGUGACCCCUUGGGAAUACCAGGUGCUGUAA